rnacentral:rRNA from 1 species
ACGAACGCUGGCGGCGUGCUUCACACAUGCAAGUCGAACGGUGAAGCGCCUUCCUUUUUGGUGGGUGUGGAUGAGUGGCGAACGGGUGAGUAACACGUGAGUAACCUGCCCCCUUCUUCUGGAUAACCGCAUGAAAGUGUGGCUAAUACGGGAUAUUCUGGGUCUGUCGCAUGAUGGGUCUGGGAAAGAUAUUGUUUCGGUGGGGGAUGGGCUCGCGGCCUAUCAGCUUGUUGGUGGGGUGAUGGCCUACCAAGGCGGUGACGGGUAGCCGGCCUGAGAGGGUGGACGGUCACACUGGGACUGAGACACGGCCCAGACUCCUACGGGAGGCAGCAGUGGGGAAUAUUGCACAAUGGGCGCAAGCCUGAUGCAGCGACGCCGCGUGAGGGAUGGAGGCCUGCGGGUUGUGAACCUCUUUCGCCAGUGAAGCAGGCCUGCCUCGUUUGUGGGUGGGUUGACGGUAGCUGGAUAAGAAGCGCCGGCUAACUACGUG